UUUUGCCGUGCGGUGGAAAAUACAAGUAAAGCUUGCUUUUCUUCUUCAUUUUGCCGCUCUUCAAUCGAUCCCUCGAAGUACCCCCGCCGCCGUGCCGCCGCCGCCGCCGCCGGCGCGGCGCAUCUCCCUCUCCUUGCUUAUCUCUGGCGUGUUCUUCUUUGUCGGUGCUAUUGGGAUCGUCUUCGCCAUUGUCGUGCUCCUUCGCCCCCCGCGGACUGUGCAGGUUUCGGUGUUCCGGUGUGGGAGAGCUGAGGACACGCUUAGGAACUUCCGAUUGAGAUCUAGCGUUGGUGCCGAUGCUGGGUUGGAGGAUCGACCGAAGCUGCUGGACUUCGUCGGGCUGCGCUUCGGAGCACUUGGUUUCCUUCCGAUCCGGAGGCUCUAGCUCGAACUAAGGCUGAUCCUGUUAUUCUGGCUGAGUAUGUGGUGGCAUUGCUGAGGAAUGACAAGCCCAAAAAGGAACUGCAGAAGCUGUGCGCGGAUAGCUUGGUUGAGUUUCUGGGGCCGAAUUCUAGGUUUACACAACAAGAGCUACCUGCUUGCAAACCAAUACUGACUCUUGGGAUUGUUAUUUUAACAUUUGCUGCCAUUGGUGUUAUUUUCAUUCCAAUUGGGCUUGCUUCAUUGUCUGCAUCAGAACGUAUGAACCGUUUCAUGCUAUUAACAGUGAACUGCAAGAGCUACCAUCUGUAGAACUAUCAAUUCUUCCUUUAAUUUUGAAGACAUGGACCGAGGCAUGAAAUUCCCCAGAAUUUAAAACUUGUUGUGAGAAAGCUACCGCAAACCGACUCACUGAGAUUGUAGGACCUGGAUCUGGUAUAUCCCGACACACAGGAGGUUCCAUUUCUCAUGCUUCCCAUGCGGAUAGAUUGCGAUCGAGGCUUGGACGUGAUCCUUGGCCUUUUGAGCUUUUUGAAGUAACUCAUACAAAGAAGGGUACCUCCAUGCUUGUUGAUGCACGUGCUCAAUCUGUUAAGGAUCGCUAUCUGGAGCUUGUGGAGCAAGCAUCUCAAACACAAGAAGGGCAUGACGAACUUCCUAUUGUGGAUGAAACAACUUUGUACUAUGAGGCUGUUGGGGGAGGGAAAAAAAAGUCGGGUUUAUGGAAUAGGGUCCCAGGGGUGUAUCUUUUAUCCAUAUUCAUCUUCGAGUUUGUCCACAGGUUCAUCAUCUGAGGCACUACAUGCUGAGAUUAGAGAUUUGCGUCAAACUCUUAGUCAAGUCUAAGAUCGUGAGGAGAGGCUUCAACAGACGCUUGGCCAAGUACAAGAUAAUAACAAGGAGCUUCAAAAAAGUUUGCUUGAAAUGAAAGAGGAGAGGGACCAAUAUCGUGCAGAGAUGAUGUGUCAAAUGAAGGACAUGAUGAUGAGUUUAAAGAGGAGGAUUCUUCAGCAGUCGCAGUUUACCACACAGGACUCAUAGCCAGUUACUGAUGAUUAUGAUGUUGACUUAUAGUUGUAUUUGUCGUAUAUUUAUUAUUUUGUGUUGAACAUAUAUACUUAAAUAUUUCUUUU